rnacentral:rRNA from 2 species
AGCAUAGCGAUUUGGGAUAAGUCCCUUGGAAGAGGGCAGCAUGGAGGGUGAUACUCCCGUCUCUGCUCAGGUUGUCUGUGUGUACGAUACGCUUUCUUUGAGUCGAGUUGUUUGGGAAUACAGCUCAAAGCAGGUGGUAAAUUCCAUCUAAAGCUAAAUAUUGGUGCGAGACCGAUAGCGAACAAGUACCGUGAGGGAAAGAUGAAAAGAACUUUGAAAAGAGAGUUAAAGAGUACCUGAAACUGUUGAAAGGGAACCGUAUCGUUUCUAGUGUGUAUCCUAUGCAUAUUUCAUUGGCGGUUGUAAAAUUGCUGGUGCCCUGUGUACGGGUGUGACGUCAGAGUCAGUUUGAAUUGCGGGAGAUGGGUAGUGAGGAGGUGCGUCACUUUUUGUGAAAGUUACAGCUCGCUAUCUAGUAGCCGUGGUUGAGACUGAGGUGCC